rnacentral:rRNA from 1 species
UACGUAGGGUGCAAGCGUUGUCCGGAAUUAUUGGGCGUAAAGAGCUCGUAGGUGGUCUGUUGCGUCGGCUGUGAAACCCCGAGGCUCAACCUCGGGCCUGCAGCCGAUACGGGCAGACUAGAGUUCGGCAGGGGAGACUGGAAUUCCUGGUGUAGCGGUGAAAUGCGCAGAUAUCAGGAGGAACACCAAUUGCGAAGGCAGCUCGCUGGGACGUUACUGACGCUGAGACGCGAAAGCGUGGGGAGCAAACAGG